AGAGUUUGAUCCUGGCUCAGAACGAACGCUGGCGGCAUGCUUAACACAUGCAAGUCGAACGAACUAUUUAUAGUUAGUGGCAGACGGGUGAGAAACGCGUGGGAACGUACCCCAAAGUUCGGAAUAACUAUUGGAAACGAUAGCUAAUACCGGAUGUGACCGAGAGGUUAAAGGUUUACCGCUUUGGGAGCGGCCCGCGUUAGAUUAGCUAGUUGGUAGGGUAAAGGCCUACCAAGGCAAUGAUCUAUAGCUGGUCUGAGAGGAUGACCAGCCACACUGGGACUGAGACACGGCCCAGACUCCUACGGGAGGCAGCAGUGAGGAAUAUUGGUCAAUGGGCGCAAGCCUGAACCAGCCAUGCCGCGUGCAGGAUGAAGCAUCUAUGGUGUGUAAACUGCUUUUAUACGGGAAGAAACCCUGCCACGUGUGGCAGAUUGACGGUACCGUAAGAAUAAGGACCGGCUAACUCCGUGCCAGCAGCCGCGGUAAUACGGAGGGUCCAAGCGUUAUCCGGAAUCAUUGGGUUUAAAGGGUCCGUAGGCGGCCCGGUAAGUCAGUGGUGAAAUCUCCCCGCUCAACGGGGAAACGGCCAUUGAUACUGCCGGGCUUGAAUUACCAGGAAGUAACUAGAAUAUGUAGUGUAGCGGUGAAAUGCUUAGAUAUUACAUGGAAUACCAAUUGCGAAGGCAGGUUACUACUGGUAUAUUGACGCUGAUGGACGAAAGCGUGGGUAGCGAACAGGAUUAGAUACCCUGGUAGUCCACGCCGUAAACGAUGGAUACUAGCUGUUGGGAGCGAUCUCAGUGGCUAAGCGAAAGUGAUAAGUAUCCCACCUGGGGAGUACGAACGCAAGUUUG
rnacentral:rRNA from 1 species